rnacentral:lncRNA from 1 species
UAGUACAUUUUAGAUAUAUACAAUGAUAACAUUCAUCAUAGGGAAUCUGUACCAGUAUAUGAUAUAUCUUGCUUCUUUUACCCCCAUUCCUCCUCUCCCUUAUGUACAAAGGCUUUGUUUCAAUUUUUUUCUUUUUUUUCCUUGUCCUUUCCUUCCUUUCCCCUUAUCCCUCCCUUGUUCCCCUUCUCAUUUGAACAUUUUCUUCCCAUUUCCCAAUGUCUAUUGUACAUUUUAGUCCUUAUUUCCACUUUCGGUUUCUCACACUAGAGAAACAAUGCAGUAUCUAAACAUGUGUUAGAUUUAUUUCACUUAAGAGUAUGGUCUCAGGGUGUAUCCAUUUAGCUAUAAAUGUCUCAAGCUCAUCUUUCUUUAUUGUCCCGUUUUCUGAUAUCUGAAAGAUUUUUAGGGAAAGGAAAAUAUUUGAGAAUUUUUGUAGAAUACUGGACAUUUCAUGUGUUUGUACUCUCCUUUGUCCCAUGCUAAUGCACACAGUGACUUCAUUAUGGAAGAACAGCUUGAAGUUAACAGGAAUCUUUUUUUCCUCAUACAAGAGAUUGAAUCUGGGGCUUUGGACAUGCUUGGAAAUUUAUGAACACUACAAAUUUAAGACUGCAAUUUCAAAAGCCAAAAUCCACUUGGAGAUAAUCAGGGUUGGCACAUUAAUAUAUAUAUAUUCUAGAAAUUUUUGUGUGAUAGUGGCAUGUGCUUGUAUUUAUAAAAGUGGAAUUAAACAAUCAUUUUUAUUACCUUCUUAUAUUUUCAUUGUUGUGGCUUUAUCAAGAUGUUCCCCCAAAGCUGCAUGA